rnacentral:rRNA from 1 species
GGGGAAUUUUGGACAAUGGGGGCAACCCUGAUCCAGCCAUGCCGCGUGAGUGAAGAAGGCCUUCGGGUUGUAAAGCUCUUUCGGCCGGGACGAAAUCGCACGGGCCAAUACCCUGUGUGGAUGACGGUACCGGAAUAAGAAGCACCGGCUAACUACGUGCCAGCAGCCGCGGUAAUACGUAGGGUGCGAGCGUUAAUCGGAAUUACUGGGCGUAAAGCGUGCGCAGGCGGUUUGAUAAGACAGGCGUGAAAUCCCCGGGCUUAACCUGGGAACUGCGCUUGUGACUGUCUCACUAGAGUACGGCAGAGGGGGGUGGAAUUCCACGUGUAGCAGUGAAAUGCGUAGAGAUGUGGAGGAACACCGAUGGCGAAGGCAGCCCCCUGGGCCGAUACUGACGCUCAUGCACGAAAGCGUGGGGAGCAAAC